rnacentral:misc_RNA from 1 species
GAAAUGCGAUAAGUAAUGUGAAUUGCAGAAUUCAGUGAAUCAUCGAAUCUUUGAACACACAUUGCGCCCGCCAGUAUUCUGGCGGGCAUGCCUGUCCGAGCGUCAUUUCAACCAUCAAGCCCCCGGGCUUGUGUUGGGGACCUGCGGCUGCCCGCAGGCCCUGAAAACCAGUGGCGGGCUCGCUGUCACACCGAGCGUAGUAGCAAUCACCUCGCUCAGGGCGUGCUGCGGGUUCCGGUCGUUAAACAGCCUUACAAAACCCAAGGUUGACCUCGGAUCAGGUAGGAAGACCCGCUGAACUUAAGC